GAUGAACGCUGGCGGCGUGCUUAACACAUGCAAGUCGAACGGAAAGGCCCAAGCUUGCUUGGGUACUCGAGUGGCGAACGGGUGAGUAACACGUGGGUGAUCUGCCCUGCACUUCGGGAUAAGCCUGGGAAACUGGGUCUAAUACCGGAUAGGACGAUGGUUUGGAUGCCAUUGUGGAAAGUUUUUUCGGUGUGGGAUGAGCUCGCGGCCUAUCAGCUUGUUGGUGGGGUAAUGGCCUACCAAGGCGUCGACGGGUAGCCGGCCUGAGAGGGUGUACGGCCACAUUGGGACUGAGAUACGGCCCAGACUCCUACGGGAGGCAGCAGUGGGGAAUAUUGCACAAUGGGCGCAAGCCUGAUGCAGCGACGCCGCGUGGGGGAUGACGGCCUUCGGGUUGUAAACUCCUUUCGCUAGGGACGAAGCGUUUUUGUGACGGUACCUGGAGAAGAAGCACCGGCUAACUACAUG
rnacentral:rRNA from 1 species